AGAUUGAACGCUGGCGGCAUGCCUAACACAUGCAAGUCGAACGGGAGUAGCAAUACUCUAGUGGCGGACGGGUGAGGAAUACGUAGGAAUUUGCCCUUAAGUGGGGGAUAACCCGGGGAAACCCGGAUUAAUACCGCAUGACCUCGAAAGAGCAAAGUGGGGGAUCGCAAGACCUCACGCUUUUGGAGAAGCCUACGUCGGAUUAGCUAGUUGGUGAGGUAAUGGCUCACCAAGGCGACGAUCCGUAACUGGUCUGAGAGGAUGAUCAGUCACACCGGAACUGAAGACACGGUACCCGGACCUCCGUAACGGGAGGCAGACAGGUAGGGGAAUAGUUGGAACAAGUGGGCGACAAGCCUAGAUCCGAGACAAUCGCCGCGUGUGGUAGAAAGGAACGGACCUUGGUUAGUAAAGGUAC
rnacentral:rRNA from 1 species